AGGUGCGAUCAUACCAGCACUAAUUCAAUGGAUCCCAUCAGAACUCCGCAGAUUAGCGUGCUUGGGUGAGAGUAGUACUAGGUUGGGUGACCUCCUGGGAAGUCCUCGUGUUGCACUUC
rnacentral:rRNA from 1 species